CCUACGGGUGGCAGCAGUGGGGAAUAUUGGGCAAUGGGCGCAAGCCUGACCCAGCAACGCCGCGUGAAGGAAGAAGGCCCUCGGGUUUUAAACUUCUUUUAUUCGGGACGAAACACAUGACGGUCCCGCAUUACUAAGCGACGGCUAACUACGUGCCAGCAGCCGCGGUAAGACGGCGGGGGCAAGCGUUAUGCGGAUUUAUUGGGUGUAAAGGUCGUGUAGGCGGGAGAGUAAGUCAGUCGUGAACUUCCAGGGCUCAACCCUGGAACUGCAUUUGAAACUGUUAGUCUUGAGUGAUGGAGAGGCAGGCGGAAUUCGGGGUGUAGCGGUGAAAUGCGUAGAUAUAAGGAAGAACACCAGUGGCGAAGGCAGCCUGCUGAACAGCAACUGACGCUGAGGCGCGAAAGCGUGGGGAGCAAACAGGAUUAGAUACCCCGGUAGUC
rnacentral:rRNA from 1 species